CGUGUUGGCGCAGAGGUUGGGUGCUCGCUGCUCAUCUACUGAUAGAUGGGUCCUGGUUUGGCUCUGCUACGAUGCCAUUGUGCAUUUUACGUUGGAAGGUCCAUUUGUCUACAUGUCUCUUGUAGGCACUGUGGCAACAUCUGACAACAUGUUGGCUGAAUUGUGUUGAUCUGAGUGUGUAGACACCUUCAAGCACUAAACAAUGUUUACCUGUAGUAUAAAUGUGAGGUGGCACAAAUUCCCUUAUUCAUCCAUCAUUAUG